GUGGGGAAUAUUGGACAAUGGGCGAAAGCCUGAUCCAGCCAUGCCGCGUGAGUGAUGAAGGCCUUAGGGUUGUAAAGCUCUUUCAGUAGGGAAGAUAAUGACGGUACCUACAGAAGAAGCCCCGGCUAACUUCGUGCCAGCAGCCGCGGUAAUACGAAGGGGGCUAGCGUUGUUCGGAUUUACUGGGCGUAAAGCGCACGUAGGCGGAUUGGUCAGUUAGAGGUGAAAUCCUGGAGCUCAACUCCAGAACUGCCUUUAAUACUGCCAGUCUAGAGUCCAGAAGAGGUGAGUGGAACUCCUAGUGUAGAGGUGGAAUUCGUAGAUAUUAGGAAGAACACCAGUGGCGAAGGCGACUACCUGGACUGAUACUGACACUGAGGUGCGAAAGCGUGGGGAGCAAACAGGAUUAGAAACCCUUGUAGUCC
rnacentral:rRNA from 1 species